rnacentral:rRNA from 1 species
UAGCCAUGCGAGUCGAACGUUCCCCUNUUGCGGGGAGCGUGGCGUACGGCUCAGUAACACGUAGUCAACCUGCCCUAGAGACAUGGACACCCCGGGAAACUGGGAUUAAUCCGUGAUAGGUCAUCUCAUCUGGAAGGAGAGAUGGCUUAAAGGGGUGCGAGAGCUUCUUUCUUGUACUCGCUCUAGGAUGGGACUGCGGCCGAUCAGGCUGUUGGUGGGGUAAUGGCCCACCAAACCUGUAACCGGUACGGGCCUUGAGAGAGGGGGCCCGGAGAUGGACACUGAGAGAAGGGUCCAGGUCCUACGGGGCGCAGCAGGCGCGAAACCUUCACAAUGCGCGAAAGCGUGAUGAGGUUUAUCCGAGUGGUCCCCGCUGAGGGGAUCNNUUUGUGGCUCUAAACGGCCAGUGAAUAGGGGAGGGGCAGUCUGGUGUCAGCCGCCGCGGGUAA